AUUAGAAAAGUUAGUUCAUCCAAAUAUUAUAAUAGAUUUACAGGACAGUGUCCAAAUGACAAUCAUCAUCAUCAUCAUAAUCAGGAUGCAUGACAAUGUCAACAGAUAAUCAAGAUUAUCAUGCAUUAUUGUUCCCUUUAAUAUUGACCAAUUCAUAUUUUGAUUUUAUUAGUCUCAAGGGAUAUCCAAUGAGGCAAUGAAGGAUUCUAGCAUGAAAAAAUAAAUCUGGGUGGUCAGACCAGCUGACCCAAAUCUGGCACCACAGCCAGAAGAGAUUAGCAAGAUUCUUCAAAAUUAAAGGGUCUAAUAUGUUUGUACAUGGUACUUGGCAUGAUGUUUCUUGCAGCAUUUCAAUGGAGCUUCAAGCUUAAGUCAGCAGAAAAGCAAGCACUUAGUGCAGAUUCACCAUAAAGGAUGCAACAUUGAUCAGCAGUGGACACUCUUCUAGCGCAAGGCAGCUAAUGGCUCAAGAUUGGUCCUCCCUCCCAAGGAGUAGCUAAACUCAAUUUUGAUGACCGUUCUUUGGGGAACCAGGGCCAUCAAGAGUAGGGGGACUCUACAGGAUCGCAGAAAGUAGUAUCCUAUUGGCAUACUCAGGAACAAAGGGGACAUUAGACAUAAUUAGAGCAGAGAUAAAGUCUUUUCUCCAUCUGAGGUUCUUAUAUAUCAGGUAUAGCAGUUUCAUUCAGACUCGGCGAGCGACAUCUCUCUAGCCAAUACCAGUACUCUCAAGACUGCAUAUGGGAAUAGACCAACAGGAAAACCGAUA